ACGCUGGCGGCGUGCUUAAUACAUGCAAGUCAACUUGACUUUAGAUAGCAAUAUCGAAAAGUAGGGUGGCGCACGGGUGCGUAACGCGUAGGUAAUCUGCCCUGAGGUCUGACAUAACCCGUCGAAAGGCGGGCUAACAUCAGAUGAUAUAUAGUCACGACAUCGUGGAAAUAUCAAAUCUUCGGAGCCUUGGGAUGAGCCUGCGUCUGAUUAGGUAGUUGGCGGAGUAAUAGCCCACCAAGCCUACGAUCAGUAGCUGGUCUGAGAGGAUGAUCAGCCACACUGGAACUGAGACACGGUCCAGACUCCUACGGGAGGCAGCAGUAAGGAAUAUUGCUCAAUGGGGGAAACCCUGAAGCAGCAACGCCGCGUGAAGGAUGAAAUACUUUGUAUGUAAACUUCUGUAAGAUGGGAAAAAUAUUCUCCUCGGGAGAAUUGAUUGUACCAUCAGAGUAAGCCCCGGCUAACUACGUG
rnacentral:rRNA from 1 species